rnacentral:lncRNA from 10 species
GCGGGCUUUGGAGCCAGGCAGGUUCAGUCCCACCACUUAGAUAUAAUCCUGGACACGUUUGAUAGCAACGGUAACAGUGACAGUACAUGCUUUGCAGGGUUGUAAUGAGAACUGUGUCGGCCAGGGUCACACAUCUGUAUUAGGAUAACUUGAGGAGAGUUUAUAAAGGGACUAUUACAUCUACAAAGAUGUGGUCAGGGUUCAGGGAAACACAAGAGAGAGUGUAGCGCACUGGGGUUGUGAUAGCACCCAGGUGGGAAGCAAGGACAGGGCAUGGUGACGAGAAGCUGGGGACAGAGCAGGUGGGGUCAAGAGGGUUGCUUAACAGGACCCAUAACCUUGUGUUGAGAAAUGAGUCUGUUCUGCAGUGACAUGGCUGGGAGGGGGCUGGGAGAAUACAAACUCUGAUCUAACUUCUUCCUCUUGCCUAUUUUUGCCAGUGAUCCUCAUUGGCCAAACCCAACUGGAAGCCACUGGGCUUCAAAUCAGCCUCCUGUGGCAAAAAGCAAGGUGGAGAAGGUGAGAGAGUAGAUCUGGGGCAAAUGGAAGGUAUCCAGCCCAUGGAUUUAAAAGCAAUAAUGCAUAGGAAAGCCCUGAUCAUGUACCUAGCACCCAGUCACUGUUUGCUGUAAUAUUAUUAUAUUAUCGGAAGAAACCAAGAGCUGUGGGUGGCAGAAGAGGAAUUGAGCUGUUUUUUUUUUUUUUUUUUUGCUAGGGUGACCUGCAGAAUACUCAUGGAGGAGGUCUGCUUUGAGUUGUGGCUUGGAGAGAUGAAGAAAAUAAUAGAGCAAACAUUGACAUGGAACCUACUAUGUGCAGCUGGAUUUCCAUUCAGUCAUGGAGGUGGAUUGCGGUGACGCAUGGCCACAGACUUUUCUGGAACUGAGAGCUAUGAGAGGUGAUACCGUCACUGACUUCUGGGAAGGCACCAACCUCGUAUUGUCUGUUGAAUGGGGCUGAUUGGUUCUUGAAAUGAAACCAAUCCAGAAUGAAUUGAAAAAUAGAUAUAAGAGGUCCUGCAAGUCCAAGACAGUUCAGCGAACAUAAAAAGAAGGCAAUCAAUGUGUUCUGGAAGAGAUUUAGUAUUCUAACUAUCAAUAGCCCAGCCUCAAAUUUUCCACCUAUCUCAGGCAGGGGAAAGAAAUUAGAUUUCUUUAUCUACUGGUGGCAUAUAACCA